rnacentral:rRNA from 1 species
GGGUGAGUAACGCGUGGGUAAUCUACCCUCGAAUUUGGGAUAACAUUACGAAAGUGAUGCUAAUACCGGAUGAUAUCAGAAAGACGUUGGUUUUUUUGAUCAAAGGUGGCCUCUACAUGUAAGCUACUGUUUGGGGAUGAGCUCGCGUACCAUUAGCUAGUUGGUAGGGUAAAGGCCUACCAAGGCAUCGAUGGUUAGCUGGUCUGAGAGGAUGAUCAGCCACACUGGAACUGACACACGGUCCAGACUCC